AAAAAGUUUUAUAAUCAGUUCAAUCUGCAAGAGUCUUAAUAUGUGUUGAGUUGCCCCAUCAAAAUUUGUCUUUAUGUACACAUGAUUGAAAUUCAGGAUUUAUAAAUACUUUCCCUAUUCCAAUAGUUAAAAUACCUAUUUAUGCCGAAGGAUCCUUGUAAGAGAUACGCGUGUGAGAUCCAGAGAUGCCUUGUUGAAAACGACUUCCAGGAGGUUCGUUGCGCGCGCGUCUUCGAAAGCAUGCGCCAGUGCUGCAUCAAGUAUAAACCGUUGGAUGCAUCGCUGGUGUGCUCUGGAUACAGCUUGGAGCCUCGCAAAUUCUCGGCCGUCACGGACAGGCCGCAUAAGUCAGAAAAAUAGCUAUGGACAAUCGUCAUCGUAG